rnacentral:rRNA from 1 species
UACGUAGGGACCAAGCGUUGUUCGGAUUUACUGGGCGUAAAGGGCGCGUAGGCGGCGUGACAAGUCACUUGUGAAAUCCCGGGCUUAACUCGGGAACUGCGUCCGAUACUGGAAGGCUGGAGUUCGGAGAGGGAGUGUGGAAUUCCAGGUGUAGCGGUGAAAUGCGUAGAGAUGUGGAGGAACACCGAUGGCGAAGGCAGCCCCCUGGGAUGAGACUGACGCUCAUGUACGAAAGCGUGGGGAGCAAACAGG